GGGAAUAGGUGGCACUGUGUAGGGAAUAGGUGGCACUGUGUAGGGAAUAGGUGGCACUGUGUAGGGAAUAGGUGGCACUGUGUAGGGAAUAGGUGGCACCGUGUAGGGAAUAGGUGGCACUGUGUAGGGAAUAGGUGGCACUGUGUAGGGAAUAGGUGGCACUGUGUAGGGAAUAGGUGGCACUGUGUAGGGAAUAGGUGGCACUGUGUAGGGAAUAGGUGGCACUGUGUAGGGAAUAGGUGGCACUGUGUAAGGAAUAGGUGGCACUGUGUAGGGAAUAGGUGGCACUGUGUAGGGAAUAGGUGGCACUGUGUAAGGAAUAGGGGGCACUGUGUAAGGAAUAGGUGGCACUGUGUAGGGAAUAGGGUGUCAUUGAAGACAGCCACAAUAAACAAGAGACUAACUACAGAACUUAGUUUUUUAAAGAAAAUGAAUUCGAUGAACCGAUUUGAUAAUAGAAGCGUCUUAUUUAGUCUUGUGGUAUUAUCCUAGAAAGGUGUUUAAACCUUCGCUUUUAGAGUUUCUAUUCUUUUGAUUCCACUUAAGAGUAUCACUUGUUGUUGUUUUUUGCUAACUAAAGGAAGAACUGUGUAUUAUAAGUACCAUCACAUUGACUCCCUUCUCACACACACACACACACACACACACACACACACACACACACACACACACACACACACACACACACACACACACACACACACACACACACACACACACACACACACACACACACACACACACACAC